rnacentral:lncRNA from 1 species
GGCCCCUUUUCACAAAAAUAAAAUAAAAUACGUGGCCCCUUUUCACCAAAAAAAAGAAUGGCCUGUAUUGUCUUAUCAGAAUUUUAAGCUUGUGUCAGAAAUUUCUACUCAAAGGAAAUUUCAUACCCACUAAUUAAUGCUGCAAGCUGAGGCUGUAAUUCUUCAUCCCUCAGUUUAUGUAUCCUCCCUAAUAUAGUUUCAACACUUCUGAUGCAAAUGUUUAUCUUUGUUAGCAAUUUUCUUAUUGAUGACUCGGUAGCAUUAGAUUCGGCACCUCGAUUAUCUAAUGCUUUCAAUCUCUUGCAUUGCUUCUUGUAAAUAGCUCUUAACCUCUCUUCAUCCUGAGAACAGUGUUAAAUACAAAUAAGCACAAUUUGAAAGGAAC